AAACCCUAGCUGACCAAUCCCAAUCCUCAUCUCCACUUCCCUCCGCCGCCUCUCCUUGGCCGACCUCCACCUUCCGCCUGGACGCGGCCGCAGCAGCGGCAGAAAACACGCGCCCGAGCGAACGCGGUUGGACGCGGCAGCGUCGGCUGCAUGCGGCGAUGGAGGCUCGCCGGAUGCGUGGCGCUGGCCGGACGCGGCGAGCGGCUGGAUGCGGCGGUGGAGGCUCGCCGGAUGCGUGGCGCUCGCCGGACGCGGCGACGGCUGGAUGCGGCGGUGGAGGCUCGCCGGACGGCCAGACGCAGCGGCGCUGGCCGGAUGCGGCGGCGGCUGGAUGCGGCGGCUGUACCGGCAGCGGCGAGGGCGCAUCCCCGGCUCCGAUUCGCCCGCCACCUGCACUGGAAGCGGGAGCCGACGGCGGCGGCUGGACGCGGCAGAACGGCAGCAAGGAUACGCGGUCAGCUGUAGAGAACGGUGGUGGAGUGGGUGUGAGUCAAGGAUGGCCAGGAUCCGGGGUAGGGCCGGCCAAAUCAUGUCGGGCGACGGAUUUUGACAAUACAGGGACAGCAACGGCAAGCAUGGCUGGUUUUAAGACGCCAAGGUGGGCUUAAGUGUGUUUGUGCCGGCUCAGUAUAUCGAGUUGUAUAAUGUACAUACCACAACUAUCGUUGUUGUGGUGACUCAGACAGGUUCCUGAAGCUACUAUUUUAGUUAAAUAUUUGAUGUGCUAAAGCAAAAAGAUAAAUGAAGCAUAUGCUGAUGAAAAAGGACAUAUCUGCCAAAGAACAAGGCAGCUUGCUUUGAUGCCCUUGAGAGUUUGCCAGCCUUCUUAAAUUAUCUUUGCUUAAUUGCUUUUGUUACUAUUUGGCUCGAUGCCAAAAUUUUGUCGAGGUUAUGUUCUAUUUUUCCCCCAGUUCAUAUUUGGAGACUAAAAGAGCAAAUAUUUGAGUUGCCAAUUUGAUAUGCGGAAUUUGGCUUGGUUUUCAUUGGCUUCUUUUAGGCACAAAACCAAUCAGGAAUUUUUUGUUUGCAGCAUUUAUUUGCUUUCUUUGUUUCUGCCUUCUCAUUGUUGCAUGAUCCUUUUGAGGAUCCUCGGGUUGCUGAAUUUAUUCAUGAGAAUUUUCUGUCAGGAAAGCCACAUGAUUAGGUACUUUGAGUCAUGCUGUUUGUGUGUACACAGUUAACAAAAGAUCUUAUUUUCUCAAUGCCAUAUGGUGAUUCAAACUUUGCUUUCAUUUUGGCGUACUUAGUUUGGUGCCUGGUCCCAUGUUGUGGUUAAUAGACGACUUAAAUCUAUAUUAGAGUUUGUUUCCAUCAACUUGUGUUAUUUAGACUGAAAGAAAUGAUAUGGUAAUAUAAUUUUUCUAAUAGAGUAUUAGAUUACAAUUAUACUUCUUUGCAAUUGGUGUUCCUGUGGGUAAAUAAAUUUAUGCUAUCCAUGUACUGAUGUACGUGCUUUAUGCCCUACCCCUUAUGUCUCUCUUGCUAGGGAGGAAAAGAAAGAAUGUUGUUAUCUGUUCAUGAGCAUGAUUAUGAUCUCAAACAAUUGACCAUUUGCACCCUUCAGAGUUACUGUCAUUUACUGCUAUAAGACUUCCUUGUGGUUCUUGCUUGUGCUGGUAAGCAAAUAUAUGGUUAGUCCUAUACAUAGCAUAACACUAAGGUCGCAGCAUGAGUUUGACACCACAGCUUUGUUUCAUUCAAAGGUUUAUGUGCAUUUCAGUGUACAUAGACUCAGUCAUGUCUAUCUGACUCGCCUUUUUUUUUUGCCUAAUAUGUUGUACUACCUUUUGCACCGCUGAAAUCUCAUUGUCAUAGUCAUUCUACUGUACAAGUACCUAUAGUUGACUGGACUAAAACUGAUUGCAAUGAGCAGAAGUGGAACUGACACAGAUUCUGUAAGAAUUAUGAAUUUGCAUUUCUAUGUAUUUAGUCAUUUACUCAUGGUUAAUACACUCUACUAAUAUACCAUCUAACUGGUUCAGUUGUGUUAUUUGAUUUAAUCUCCUAUGAAUAAGUAUUCAAAAAUUAUUUAUGCGUACUUGUGCUAUGUUUGUGCUUUAGCUAAUUGUUUUGGCAAUCAUCUGGAAGCUAUGCGUUUUCACUGUUUCUAGACUUUUUUGCAAAAGUUACUUUGUAUUGCGGGUCUGACACUCUCCACGGGACGGAGGGAGUACAACUUAUUAAUGCAAAUAUGUGCAGUUUUAAAUAUACAGUAUAUAUAGUAUACAGAUGCUCCUCUUUCCAUUUUUGAAAUAUCGCGAUUUUUUGUUCAUCUUUGAACCUUACUAGAGAUCUAUCAAGAACUACAGAUUCAUGCUCGCACUUUGUGAUUUUGUUCUUUUUUUCUUAGGAUGUCAUUUCCUUUGCUAAUUCUGGGUGUAGUAGUACAGGAUAACUAACUAUCCCCGUCUCACCUCUCUUUAUGUCUAUUGAUAAAUUAAUCUUAGACUCUUAGUCUGCAGUAUGUAUUGGCUUGCUUAGACUAAGAUUCAUUUUCUACUUUGAGUGAAUUUGCCAGUCUAUUUUUUGCAUUUAGUUUAUGUCAGCACUGGAAAUUGCUAGCCUAUUAUGUCGCUAUCUAUAUUUUGUAUUUUAGUUUAUCUUUCCAUUGAAAAAUGGUAGCAUAAACUUCCUCUGGUGAAUUUGUUAGAUAUCUAUUGUAGCUAGGCAUAAUUAUUGUUAUUUUAUAUGACUAUUUGCAGGAGGAGUUUUUUGAUCAUAGAAAGUCGUUCUUUUGAAAAUUGGCUUGAACUUUUACGUGGAGGUAUGCCUAUAUAUAAAUUCUGGAAGAUUAUUUCAGAUUAUCACCUUCGAUCUCCCGCAUUCCAAGCUUUUGCUUCUAUGGUAAGAUAAUUCAUCUCUUAAUUGCUUUGAUGAAAAGGGAAAGACAGUUGUAUGCUUGCCAAAUGUGUAAGGACUUAUUUUACAAUUUUAUCAAACCAUGAUUAAAUGAUGUACAAUGAGUGAACCAAUUAAUUAUUCCUUCUGUAUACACAAUUUCACAUGCUUCAUAAAUAUGAAUUUUGUAAGUAAAAUUAUAUUGAGGCUCUAUAUCCAUCCGUCUUUCACUUGUCUUUCACUUUCAGUGGUUAGCAGAUACAUUUUUUAUGCAUCGUGCUCAUAUCAUGUCAUGCUGAUAUACUGUGCUCAGCAGAUACAUUCUCUUAUGGUCGAUAACUCUGGGCAUUUCCGUUUUAAGACGGGUUGUACAGUUUCCUCAACCUGGACCGUUGGCCGCAGUUCUAACUGGUCCGGUCUGGUUUAUACUGUUCACAAAUAGUAUGAUAUGACGAUGUGGUCUGACCUGGUUUGACGGUCUGGUUUCAAUGUCCGGAGGAAGCUUCAUCGCCACCGUCCCUCGCUUCUUGCCAUCUUCCACAGCCGGUGUCCAUCGGGAUGUUCACCGGCCAUGCUGCAACGACAUCCGUGGGCUCACCAUUUUCGCGCUCUAGCCCCUUGCUCACUGUCCAUGCCGGCCUUCCAUGGUAGAGUCAUUAUGGAUGGAAACGGGCGAAGGGCUGAGCAUCAGCGUGGAUGAUGUGCCUCAAGACUCUCGGUGGGCCAACUUCCUUGAGCCACAAGGGGUCGACUGUUGAGUGAGCAGCAACAACAAACAAAGCAGACUGCAGACUAUGCAGAAUGAUCUAUGCAGCUUUGUCACUUGUGGUGUUUAGCAAUCCUCUGUUACCAGGUUUUUUUUUCCCAACCAGAUAACUUGUGCUGAAUUCGAGAGGGAUGAUACAUAUAUCUCUAUAAAUAUUGUGCAGAUGUUUUAGUGCCUAUAAAAGAGUACCCAACUUAUAUAUGGUUAACUGUCGAGAGACUGAUAUUGAUAUUACAUUUAUGAAUUAAAUACAAUGCAGUUUUAUGUCUUUCUGUACAUUGAACACAUCUUUCCUAUAGAAUAUAGGAAAUGACACAUUCUUUACAUAUUUCAUCCAAGUAUAUGGUUGUGUUUAUGAAAUUUAUCAUGGUCACCAUGAGUAUGCGUAGUGGGCCAUAUUGUAAUCCAUGGACAUAUACAAAGAAGCGUGGGACAAUAUUGCGUAAUUAACACAAGCAGUUAUUUCACUAAGUCUAAAUACCUCAAUAGCCAUAAUGUAAUCACAUUCCUUGAGUAAUGUCUUGCUUUUGCCAUUUGUGCCGAUGCACAACCGGUCAUCUAUGGCAUGUAUGUUCACUUUUUUUAGUCAGUAUGUAUGUUCUAUUUUCUCAAAAACAUAAUGAAUUCUUGGACAACCAAACAGACAUCAGCCGAGUAAAACUUACAUUCUUAAAAAAGAUUGCCUAUAUAGGUUUAUGGGCUCUCAAAAGACCUACUGAACUUUUGGACAACUAAACAUACAUUAGCACCAUGAAACAUAUGGUUAUAUUUAUGGGUUCUUGUCUAGGUGCCAUGAUUUAACUUUCUUUGCACUAUCUCUUACCAGUGUUUGUUCUUUCUCGGGCUAUGAGGCCUGAGUUUUUGACUUGCACCUUUGGCAGGUCAUUGAAAUCAGAACCCCGUCAACUCUGAAGCGGCUGGUACAUCAAUUUCUAUAACUCACAGAAUUCCCUACUUCACUUGCACAUGCAUGCUUGAUGGAUAUCUUGUAAGAGUUAACGAGUGAGCUGAUGUCUGAUUUUACUUGCUCUGAAAUUUGAAUAGAAAUGCUUCGUCAGUUCUCCCAUACUCAUAGCACCAUAAAAAUACCCCUUUGCAGAUUUGCUUUCACUAAGAAAAACUUUCCUCUUUUUGUUUUAGAUGGCAGCCUGGUUUGCUAACCAACCAAAUCAGCUACCUGAGUACUCAUUAAUGUUUGAUUAUUUCAUCUUUUAGGCUGCACUAAGGAAAAUUUUAUGGCUCUCUCUCUAAAUUAAUAUUUACCUUAUGGCGUAAAAAUAUUUACCUGCAGAUUCUAGCAUUAAGUCGUACUUCCUGAAGACAUAGUUGAUUAUGAAACUCAGACACUGUAACCUUAGACCAGAUCGAAGCAACAUUUGUACAUGCCCCGUUCCAGAAUAUGCAGAGAAGAUGAUCGCUGCAAUUGAUGAAGUACGAGUUGAUAGAAAUUAGUCGUUGUCAGGCUCUCCGGCGCCGCCAGGUCCUUCUCCUACGUGUUGGACUCGGCUGCCCCGCACGGCAGGAGCUUCGCGGCUUCAGCGGCUGCCCUUGCAGAGGACUAAGACGGAUGGAAGAGGGUCUGAGGGUGUCAAGGCCCACGCGAGUGGGCAUCCAUUGGUCAGACAUGAAGUCGCCCAACGCGCACCCACGUUCCCCUCUCCUCUUCCUCUCUGCUCUUGGCCACGCCGAUGCCUGCAUUGUGCUGGUGUUACCUUCUCGACAAAGGAUAGAAAAGAACAAUGUUAAUAGUUAUUUGGAAUGCAAGAUGAAGGAGCAAGGAUUAGGACAUGUAGAUGUGACUCUUCCCCAGCAUCUUGUUGAGGAAAGUUUUCAUAAUGUGGUCUCGGAGUAUUACUUGACAGGUCUCGGAGACGCAGAAGAACAAAGCCACGGCACACCAUCGUGCUCUUCUGAAGGUGGGUUGGAGUGCUGUCAAAGUACUGCAAAAUCUCUUGAAACAUUAUAAAUGAACACCUGGGCCGAGGUAUGCGUCUAUAGGUCUUUAUGGGCGGCAAGGCGAAAAAAAAGGUGUAGAGAAGGAGAAGGUACAUAAAAGAAAAGAUUUCUCAAUAACCCGCUUUGUUUCCAGUUCUUGGCCUGCUUGCGCCAUUGCAGGGACUUCCAAUCGGAAAAUCUUCUGUUGAAAUGUCAUGACAUUUCUGCGCUGAUCCCGCUCCUCUUCUAACUAUUACUAUCUUAAAUUCUUAGUGAUAAUUUUUUUUUGCAAACAAAUUAUCUUUUCACCAGAGAAGGUUGAUUUAUCUAUUUUCACCUAAAUGGUGGCCUCCUUGCUCUCCUUUUUUCCCUUAGCGCCACUAAUGGUAUUCUGCUUAGAGUCUUUUAUACAAUGUUUCAGGUUUCACACAUAAUCAGCUGAGACUCUUUUAUACAAAGAUUCAGGUUUCAGGCUUUCAAAUUGUUCAAUUCCAUGCAUAAAUUCAGCAUUGAGGAUUUUAUAUAACAAUCUCAUGGCUUCAUUUUUUCAUUUCACCUCCAGCUUUCAGAGUAUUAGAUUUGUACUGAAUACCAAGUACAUUGCAUGAUAUUGUCUGCAGCUAUUGCUGCCAUUGAGAUGUUAAAAUUACUAUAUGACUACUGGAUCUGAAGAUUUGCGCAUACUCUAUUUUUCAGAAAUACAUUUGGUGCUUUGGAUCCUGAGUGGUAGAUUUUUUAUGGAUUUCUUGCAAUGAUGAAGUAGACUGCAUGCCUAUACUAUGCUCUGAUUCGAUUUGGACGCCAUGGAGAGAGCAAGUGCCGGUUGAGCGGAAGCAGAAGAGCGCCACAAAUAUAAAGCUACUUUGUUUGUACUUUUUAGGAAAGUAACAUUACUUCUUAACCGACUAAAACUUGUUACAAUACUAUCUCGCUUUGGCAUUGCCGUUCAACAUUAGCUAAAGUUCCAUAGGAGAAUUGUUGUUAUUGCCAUUCUUAUAUUGAAACUUUAGUAUUGUUUUCCUCGCUUUUCCAUUUGGUCGGAGACAUAAAUUAU